GUGUGUGCGUGUGUGUGUGUGCGCGUGUGCGCGUCGUACGUUCUGUGUGUGUCGCUUGUGUGUGAGGAAAAAGAACAGCUGAUGGUUCUCAUGGUUCUCAUGGACUGAACCACACCGUGGAUCCACUGGAUGACAAACAAGGGAAGGAGACACCAGAGGAGAGACUGUUCCAAACCACUGGUGCCUGCUGUCCUCUGAGACACCUGAGGAAACAAGGAAACGAGGAAAGGACACUACAAUAACACUUUCAUCGUCGGCCAAACUUUGUUACGAGUCGCACACGUUUGUGAUGUGAUCUGAAAUCAUUUUAAAGCAGAUAUAUAAUCUAAAGGAAACAUAUGUUAUGCUUUCAUCUUUAUUUCAUUCUUCCAAAAAAAAGACAAAUCAAUCAUUUCACUCAUUUUUUCAUUAUUGCAGUUUAUAAGCUUUUUUUUUUGUUGUUCUUAUCAAUAAUCACUAAAUAUAAACAAACACAACUUCUUCAUUUAUGCGUCAAACGUAGCCCCCCACACACACACACACACACACACACAGGUUACUUCAUACCAGUGUAGCUUCAUCAUCAUCAUCGUCACAGUUCAUCCUGUUCAGAUUUCAGUGGUGUUGGACUCUGUUACAUAGAUGUGUCUGCUCCUCCCUCUCCCUCUAACUCUGUCUGCUCCUCCCCCUCUGUGUCUGCUCCUCCCCCUCUCUCUCUCUCUCUCUCUCUCUCUCAUUAGUGUUAAAUUCAGACAUUAGACGUUUGUCUGUUUGUGGGGGGAAAAGCACCCAGAACACUGAGUGUGUGCGUGUGUUUCAGUGUUUCAGUGCAGCAUUCAAACACUCAUGUACAUAGGUCACGUGACACUCGGUCGAAGGGUUUGUGGCGUUGUCGUAACGACAAACUUUUCUAUCUUUACAUUCCAACUGGAUGCCUUGACUCUGGCCUGGAGGACGAUGACGCGGAGGCAGCGGGAGUCUGAGUGUGAGCUCUGCUCUGGUUCGACCCCGACAACAGCUUCAUGUUUUUUUAUGUAUAUAAAUAUAUAAAUCGAAAUAUGACGCCUUACAACACUUGAGCGUAUUUUCUAAGACAAAAGGAAACAGGCGUAUUACAACAACGAGACAAUCCAUGCAUUUUCCACAUAGACAUCACAAAUACUCUCAGGCCUUUUACUCAAAUGGAAUUCUUUGUAACGGCACAGUUCCUCGGCCUGCGGUCACUUCCUGUCAAGUGUCCAUGUUGAUGUACACUCACACAACUGCUGUUUGAUGAUUUCAGAGACAAACACAGCUGCUGCUGCUGCUGCAGCUGCUGCUGCUGCUGCUGCUGCUGCUGCUGCUUCUGUGUUCACGUGUUGAUGAAAAUAAAUCCCCUCCUGCAGGGUGAAGGAACAUGAACUGAACACUUCUCACUGACUCCUGAGCAGGUUUUUUGUUUUUCAUGCUGCUUAAAAAUCACCGUUUAUCAUCAGAUGAGAGCGAGGAGGCAGCGUGAUGGUUUUUGUGUUUUUCACCUCAUUUCUGUUCUGGUUCAUCAGUGAAAAUGCGGAUUUAACAUUCCAGUGAAGUUGAAACAAAAAAAGAAAAGUCACUUCUGGCUGAUUGUAUGUUGGUUUCUGAGUAAAAAGAGCACGGAUGUGAUUGUUGUUUGAGACGGACGGAGCUCAUUAAGAUCUUGUGAUGUGUUUGUUUCAGCCUCGAUCAGAAGGACGUUGUGUUUCAUGUCUUGUGCGUGACGGUGGGGUAAAAAUGCUGUACAGUUGGUGGUCGUUGAACUUAUAUUCGUUGUAUAAUUGGUUUUGCACUGUUACAUUUAUAUGCACUAACAGAAGAGAAACAUACCUCAUUUUAUACAGAACAUAAAGAGGGUAUCUUUUAAAAACAAUCAAAAGAACGGUCUGGAGCGAGCGAGAGAAUAAAAAGAGAGAAAGGGCUGUUUCAAUAUUUUGGCUUAAAAUGAUAACGAGUACAUUUGCUUCAGCACAACUGGCUGCACUUUGACCUCUGCAGGUUAGUGCUACAGAGAGGAGGUCAUGAAUGACCUGUGACAUUUCAAUUGGCAAGAAACUGUAGGUGAAUCCCUGAUUCAGGGAGCGACAGUAUUUCUCUCCCAUUCGGUUUAUUCGUUCAUUUAGCAGACAAACGUUUGGUUCCACCGUGCAGAGACAUUUUCUUAAAUGCAAUAUCAGACUCGUGUGGUGCAUGUACAGUUGAGUGUGGACUGAAAACAAAAGGCUAAAAGGAGAGAAUAUUUUCCACCGUGCAGCUCGUUAUGUUCAGAAUUCACAGAAAAGUUUUACGGGAGAUUGUUCAGUCGUGUUGAUUUCAAUGUUCAUCGAUUUGCUUAAAUGACCAAAUAAUGUAUGUAGCCUUUCACAUUACAGUCACAUAUUGUACAUGGUGAUAUAUAUAUAUAUAUAUAAAAAUAACUAAAUGCCUUAUAGACGAGGGACAUUCAACCUGAUUAGAGUUUACCAGGAUAAUAAAAAUCUGAGAUCAAUCGCUGCUUUGUUCUGGGUUCAGUCUUUUAUUUCUGUUCUAACUUCUUCUUCUGAUGCAAGGACAAUAAAAGUCUGAGAACUCAAAUAUUCCUUCAUUACCAUGAAACAUGUCCUUCAUGGUUCAUGGUUCAGGAACACUGAUGUAAUGAACCUCAUGUACCAACUGUGACUGGAAUAAACACGAUUGACACAAACAGAUAAAGAGAAAACUA